CCUACGGGUGGCAGCAGUCGAGAAUUUUUCUCAAUGGGGGCAACCCUGAAGGAGCGACGCCGCGUGGGGGAUGAAUGGCUUCGGCCCGUAAACCCCUGUCAUCCGCGAGCAAUACCUCCAACUGAAUAGGGUGGAGGUUGAUAGUAGUGGAAGAGGAAGGGACGGCUAACUCUGUGCCAGCAGCCGCGGUAAUACAGAGGUCCCAAGCGUUGUUCGGAAUUACUGGGCGUAAAGGGUGCGUAGGCGGCCAAAAUAGUCCGAUGUGAAAUCUUGAAGCUCAACUUCGAAACUGCAUUGGAUACUGGUUGGCUAGAGAUGUGAAGGGGAGCAUGGAAUUCUCGGUGUAGCAGUGAAAUGCGUAGAUAUCGAGAGGAACACCAGUGGCGAAAGCGAUUCUCUGGACACAUUCUGACGCUGAGGCACGAAAGCCAAGGGAGCAAACGGGAUUAGAUACCCCAGUAGUC
rnacentral:rRNA from 1 species